AUGUGAGAUUUUAAGACAAGAAAUAGAUCCUUACCUCUCUAAAAUCAAUAAAUUCCACUAUCAUGCAAUGCACAUUUAAGGAUCAAACAUAACCAAUAACAGCUACAUAUGUACUUUCCAGAAGCAACAAGAAGUUAGCAGAUA